CUGGGGGGGCCCCGAACCCGGCCCCCCGGGCUCGCUCCCCCCCGCGGGCCCCCCGCUCUCGAAGGCGGCCGCGUCUCCCAUCUCCGACGCCCCCAGCAGGUGCCCCGACUUCUCGCGCGAGUUCAGUUGUCACCACUGCCACACGGGCAACAACAUCGUCUAAAGACUGCUCUUACAGUCCCACCACCACCAACAACAACAGCAGCCGCCAUUCACCUCUCAGUGGCGGUGCCAUGCUCGGUGCACUUUGAGACAACGUGAAGUGUCAAAGGCCUGCUGACAGGCCAUGGAUCAGACCAAGGUGCCAUGGGUUGACUGACUGAGCUGACUGACAGAUGGCACCACCUGUGCUCCCAACUGUGCCAACUUGCUGCGUUUUAUCCGUUCGGCGCUCCGCUCGUUGUUGUGAGCGUCGCUCCUCUGCCCUCCGCUGUUGCUGGAGGGCGACUGUAUGUAUGUUGAACUGGUUUCGCGGUGUCUGGUCUAGAGUGCUGAAUUGUGGUGAGGUGUCUACGGGACCCGCUUAUUCAUCAUCUAGAUACCGGCAGAGGAGGCUUGACCAUAUUUUACCAACAGCAUGUAUUUAACAUCAAGCACGUGUGGUGAAUGCAGCAUUGACGCCUUGCAAUAGGGGUUGUAUUCGUUGUUUGAACAUCUUAUCACAUCUGUUACUACACCUCCGAUUAGCACGGUUGGCUACGUACGGUGAGAAAGAAGUUCUACAUACAGAGGUGACUGGUUCCAUUUGAUCUCCCGGCAGGGACUUUGAGAACCAACGGGGAAAGUUUCUUAACCACCCCUCCUCCUCUCUCUCCGCCGCCUCUGGUCCACCCAUCAGUUUUUUUCUCCGCCUGAUGAAGCCCGCUUGUGUUGCGAUCGAAACGUCGUGAGUUUUUUGCUUUUACUUUAAUGUAAUAAACAAAUUCUAUCUACGUGAAUUUACCGACAGAACCAAAGAAAACGAGGUACAAUACCAAUAAAAGCAACAAGCAUGU